GCCAGUUCCUGUACGAUCACCAAAGUUAAGCAACAUCAAACAUGGUUAGUACCUAGAUGGGUGACCACUUGGAAAUAUCAGGUGCUGUAAG